CAACUUGAGAGUUUGAUCCUGGCUCAGAACGAACGCUGGCGGCAGGCCUAACACAUGCAAGUCGAGCGGGCCCUUCGGGGUCAGCGGCGGACGGGUUAGUAACGCGUGGGAACGUGCCCUUUUCUACGGAAUAGCCCAGGGAAACUUGGAUUAAUACCGUAUACGCCCUUCGGGGGAAAGAUUUAUCGGAGAAGGAUCGGCCCGCGUUGGAUUAGGUAGUUGGUGGGGUAAUGGCCUACCAAGCCGACGAUCCAUAGCUGGUUUGAGAGGAUGAUCAGCAACACUGGGACUGAGACACGGCCCAGACUCCUACGGGAGGCAGCAGUGGGGAAUCUUCGGCAAUGGGCGCAAGCCUGACCGAGCCAUGCCGCGUGAGCGAUGAAGGCCUUAGGGUUGUAAAGCUCUUUCGCCAGGGAUGAUAAUGACAGUACCUGGUAAAGAAACCCCGGCUAACUCCGUGCCAGCAGCCGCGGUAAUACGGAGGGGGUUAGCGUUGUUCGGAAUUACUGGGCGUAAAGCG
rnacentral:rRNA from 1 species